UACGUAGGGCGCGAGCGUUGUCCGGAAUUAUUGGGCGUAAAGAGCUCGUAGGCGGCCGGUUGCGUCUGCUGUGAAAUCCCGGGGCUUAACCCCGGGCGUGCAGUGGAUACGGGCCGGCUGGAGGCAGGCAGGGGAGAAUGGAAUUCCCGGUGUAGCGGUGAAAUGCGCAGAUAUCGGGAGGAACACCGGUGGCGAAGGCGGUUCUCUGAGCCUGUACUGACGCUGAGGAGCGAAAGCGUGGGGAGCGAACAGG
rnacentral:rRNA from 1 species